rnacentral:rRNA from 1 species
UACAGAGGGUGCGAGCGUUAAUCGGAUUUACUGGGCGUAAAGGGUGCGUAGGUGGUCACGAAAGUCGGAUGUGAAAGCCCCGGGCUCAACCUGGGAAUGCCAUUCGAUACUCCGCGACUAGAAUUCGGUAGAGGGAGGCGGAACUCCAGGUGUAGCGGUGAAAUGCGUAGAUAUCUGGAGGAACAUCAGUGGCGAAGGCGGCACCCUGGACUCAUACUGACACUGAGGUGCGAAAGCGUGGGUAUCAAACAGG